rnacentral:rRNA from 1 species
CCCUUAGAUGUUCUGGGCUGCACGCGUGCUACAAUGAAGCGUCCAACAAGAUGCGAAGCCGAAAGGCUCAGCGGAUCUUUGAAGUCGUUUCGUGACCGGGACAGUUGAUUGCAAUUAUUCGACUCGAACGAGGAAUUCCUUGUAAUCGCGAUUCAUCAUAUCGCGCUGAAUACGUCCCUGCCCUUUGUACACACCGCCCGUCGCUCCUACCGAUUGAGCGAUCCGGUUAAUUAUUUGGAGUGUCCACGCAAGCCAAUCCGUUUACGUGGGUGCGAAAUUUUGUAAACCUUAUCGCUUAGAGGAAGGAAAAGUCGUANCA